UUGCAAGCAAGGUGAAGUCAUUAGAACACCUUCAGUGACGGAUGCUAAUUGGCCAAUGGUGUUGAAUGUAAACUUUAAAGGAAGACAGUUGUCAGUCCAAUUGAAGAAGAAGGAGGUUUACAUAAAAAAGACGGGAAUGUAUAACCUCUUCUUCAUUUCAUGUGAUCCUAAGCUUAAGGGAAUGAAGGUAUCUGGGAGGACAGUAUGGAAAAAUCCUGAUGGAUAUUUGCCUGGUCGAAUGUCACCCCUAAUGAAAUUUUAUGCUAUAAUGACCGUGGCAUAUAUACUUCUCACUGCAAUCUGGUGUCUUCAGUAUGUCAGACACCGGCAGGACGUUCUGCCGCUCCAGUACUGCAUCACUGGAGUUAUUGCCCUUGGGUUAUUAGAGAUGAUAUUUUGGUAUUUUGAUUAUGCUUAUUUCAACAAUACUGGUGCAAGGCCUGUGGGACUCACGAGUUGGGUUGUUACAAUUGGAUCCACAAGGAGAACUGUUUCACGCCUUCUUAUUCUUUCUAUCUCAAUGGGUUAUGGUGUUGUUCGCCCUACCCUUGGUGGUCUCACCACAAAGGUGCUCCUUCUUGGAAUAACCUAUUUUGUGGCCUCUAUACUGCUAAACAUUACCGAAUACGUUGGUGCAAUAAAUGACAUUGCAGGGCGAGCAAGAAUUAUGUUGGUCCUUCCUGAUGCGUUGUUAGAUGCAUUUUUGAUCUUAUGGAUUUUCACUUCUCUUUCAAAGACACUGGAGCAGCUGCAGGCAAAGAGGAGUUCUGUGAAGUUGGAUAUUUACAGACAAUUUUCAAAUGCAUUAGCAAUCACUGUCAUUGCUUCAGUUGCAUGGAUUGGAUAUGAGGUUUACUUCAAAGCAACA
rnacentral:misc_RNA from 1 species